rnacentral:rRNA from 1 species
UACGUAGGGUGCAAGCGUUGUCCGGAAUUAUUGGGCGUAAAGAGCUCGUAGGCGGUUUGUCGCGUCUGCUGUGAAAACUCGGGGCUUAACCCCGGGCCUGCAGUGGGUACGGGCAGACUAGAGUGCGGUAGGGGAGACUGGAAUUCCUGGUGUAGCGGUGAAAUGCGCAGAUAUCAGGAGGAACACCGAUGGCGAAGGCAGAUC